rnacentral:rRNA from 1 species
UACAGAGGGUGCGAGCGUUAAUCGGAUUAACUGGGCGUAAAGGGCGCGUAGGCGGUAGGAUACGUGUGAUGUGAAAGCCCCGGGCUUAACCUGGGAAGUGCAUCGCAUACGGUUUUACUAGAGUAGAUGAGAGGGUGGCGGAAUUUCCGGUGUAGCGGUGAAAUGCGUAGAGAUCGGAAGGAACGUCGAUGGCGAAGGCAGCCACCUGGCAUCAUACUGACGCUGAGGCGCGAAAGCGUGGGGAGCGAACAGGAUUAGAA